CCAAACACAAACUUCCAGCCCUGUACCUGCCGCUAUCAAUCUACAAGUAGAGGAGAAAUAAUGGGAUGAGCUAUACAACCUAGUAAGCAGGUAUAGUAUUAUACAUUUGUGGUGGUGCUAUCCAUAUGUGACAAUAGUAUAGUUUAUCAAUAUAGAGUCAUAAUUUGGCAUAAAUGCAUAUCAAGUCAAGACAUCGAAUAUGAAUAUUUCAUUUAAACGGCAGUCAUCUCUAAAUCAGUGCGAUCAGAGCUUUCAAUUAAUGAAAUCAUAAAUCAUUCCAUCAUUAUAAUGCUAAACAUUCCUUAUAAAGAAAUUAAAUAAUUACCCACGCACUCCCUGAAUCACCUACUCCCGCAGUAGAGGCCCUAUGCAUCAGGCUAAGCCAAUCCCAUUGCUUAAGUCCUCUACCAUCACACAAGAGGGAGGGUAAUGACAAAUGGUGUAUCCACUUCGUAAUACCCUCAACACACUCACACAGUCCCCAGCGCGCAUUGGGGUUUCAAUAGACCCUUACCUUGCAAGGCAUCAAUCACAUAUCAUUUCAUAAUUCUUGGGUGCGACCCUUUAUCCUCUCCCUUAACCCUUUGCUAUCAAUAUGCAGGUUAGAGGAUAUGUCAGCAUCUCUUUUCUUACUGCUGAUGAGUGUCCCAUCAUGUAGCAGGUAAUAUCAUAGUAGCAUCCACUACUUGUGGGUGUCCCACUGCGUAGUGGCCAAUAUCCUCAUCAAUGUCUGGGUGAACCUAGCUCUGGCUAUCGAUGGGCUCGAGUCCCACCGUGUAGCUGCCAAUGUUCCCAUCAAUAAGUCCAAUAUCUGCUACCAAAGGGAUCGGGUCCUAAUGCAUAAUAGUCAACACUCUCAUUAAUAUAACAACACAGUGCUCACUACUUGGAAGUGUCCCACCACGUAAUGGUCAAUAACAAUAUAAGCAGUGGUCAUUCAUUGCCUCAUAACAAAUGAAUCAUAUUAUAUCAUAGCAUCACAGCAUUUAGAAAAAGACAUGCAUUCCAUAAGCUAUCACAGGGCAUUUACACAUAAGCUUUCUCAGUAGCAUUUGGCAUUCAUUGUUAAUUCAUUUCAUCAUUAUCGUGUUUAUGGCCCCUUUUUCUCACAAAGUACAGUUUAUAUGUCAUCAUUCACAUAUAUUUAUGGAAUUCUCAUGGAAUUUAUCAUAUGGCAUUCACAUUUAUCAUAUAUCAAGAGAACUUAGUGUCGCAUGCUCAUACAAUGAUGCGGUGACAAGUAACAGUGACAUGGCCCUCUUAGAGAGGGCGUAGCUCCCGAUGUAGGGGGAGUUUCAAGAUACCUCAAACAUAAGACCUUGAGCUAACACACAUUUCUUUACAAAAACAGUGAUUUGAAUAAAUUUAGGUGUCAUUUGAUGGUCAAUAGCUCAGUAUAAAAUGAGCCUUAGUUUCUGGAAAUUUCACUGCAACAGUGAGUAGUGACAUGUUCGCGCAAUUCGGCUCAUAGUUCAAAAUCCGUGGGGAGUUUCAAACAUCUCAAAACAUGCAACUUUAAAUAUAUUCGUACACCUUUACAAUGGCAGUAAUUUCAAGGUUUUUGGACACCAUUAGCUAGGUUAAAAGCAUUGCCCAAAGAAGGCCACAGUUGCUGGAAAUAACAGCGACUGUGAACAAUCUCAUUCCUCGGCAUGUAGGGCCAUAUCGUUUUAUCCAUACAAAAUAUUAUGAUGACAUAAAAGUAAAAUUGGAGUAUACACACAUCUCUUUCACUUGUGAUCGAUUUGCUCCUAUUUGGACUCCAUUUGGUCAUCAAACAUAUAGAUGCAAAAACAUUCACAGUCAUGGAAAUUCAUAUUCUCAAGUUAAUAUACUUUUAAAGAACCCUUAAUAUUUUCUAACCAAGCUACCCUUUGGGCUUGAAACCUUAUUCGUGAUAAGGAGUCUCAUAGUGAGCGAUUUCAUGAGUUUCCAUAAAUAAAAAGAUCAAACAUAUGGUAGACACAGUCAUGGCAUUGAGAAGCAAAAACUGAAACUUCAACCUCAUGUUAACCCAUUCAUUCUUCACAUUUUCCCUUAUAUCAUCUAAUCCAUUUCAACAUUUUUACAUCACUCAUGGAUGCAUAAACCUAAACCUACUUACCUUAACUUCUCACAGUAUCACAAAUCCUUACUCAUGGCCUUCACGGGUUUUCCUUGGCUUCACCAGUGGAUUGUCUUAAAAGGGGCAACAGUGAGCUCCAAGAGAGGGGAAAAGUUGAGAAAAAUGAGAGGGACCCGUGUUGCCAAAGGCUUAAAAGGGGAGGGUGGUUGGAAAACACUGUAGCUGACGCAAUCACUCAUUGCUCUGACACGUUACGGGCGGCUCUGACAUGCACAGAGGCUGUACGUUUGACUAAGACACUCCCAGCGCUACUCUCUUUUCUCUUCCAAUCGACGCUACUCUCUUCUCUUCCAACCGGCGUUGUUCUCUUCUCUUCUAACUGACACUGCUCUCUCUUCUCUUCUAAUCGGCGCCGCUCUCUCUUCUCUUCCAACCGGUGCUACUCUCUUUUCUCUUCUAAUCGAUGCUGCUCUCUCUUGUCUUCCCACCGACAUUGAUCUCUCUUGUUUUCCAACCGGUGCUGCUCUCUCUCUUUCCGAUCUCUCUUCUCUUCCAAUCGGCACUGUUCUCUUCUCUUCCAAUCGGCACUGCUCUCUCUUCUCUUCCAACCGGUGGUACUCUCUCUUCUCUUCCAACAUGCACUGUUAUCUCUCUUCUCUUCCAAUUGUCACUGAUCUCUCUUCUCUUCCAAUCGACGCUGCUCUCUCUCCAACCGGCAUUGAUCUCUCUUGUCUUCCAUCCGGUGCUUCUCUCUCUCCUCUCGUCCCUUCCAACCGGUGCUAAUCUUUCUUCUCUUCCAGCCAACGUUGUUCUCUUCUAUCUCAAUCGGCACUGCUCUCUCUUCUCUUCCAACUGGCGUUACUCUCUCUUCUCUUCCAACCUGCACUGCUAUCUCUCUUCUCUUCCAAUCGUCAAUGAUCUCUCUUCUCUUCCAAUCGGUGCUGCUCUCCCUCCAACCGGCGCUGAUCUCUCUUCUCUUCCAACCGACGCUACUCUCUCUUCUCUUCCAACCAGUGUUGCUUUCUCUCUUCUCUUCCAACUGACGUUGAUCUCUCUUCUCUUCCAACCAGCAUUGUUCUCAUCUCUUCCAACCAGUGCUAAUAUCUCUUCUCUUCCAACCGGCACUGCUCUUUAAAAUGAGAGUGGCAAUUCCUUAGACGAUAAUACUCCAUACGCCUUUGGCGCAUGGCAAAAAUCCUUACGCGUUCUCGCUCGACAUUACAUAUUUCUUCUCCUGUGGUGAUACUGUCUUGGGAGAAACUCGUGGCCCUUACACAAGCCUAUCGUUGCCUAUGUUUUCCCUCUCUUUCUUCUCUUCUGUCACAACCGGUGCAAGCCUAGCUCCACCUGUGUUUUCCAUCCUUUUUUCUUCUAUCAUAGACGGCGGAAGCGUAUCGCUGGCUGUGUUCUCCCUCUCUCCACUUUCUUCUGACACAGCCGACACAACCUAUUACCGCUUGUGCUCCUUCUCUUUCUCUUUUUUCAUAGACGGUAGAAGUAAAUUGCCGUCUGUGUUCUUUUUCGCUGUUCUCUCUUUAUGUCACAGCCAGUGCAAGCCUGUUGCCGCCUGUGUUUUCUCCUCACUUUUCUUCCUCAUGUCAUAGCAGGUGAAAGCCAUCGUCGUUUGAGUCUUCUCUCUCCCCAUCUCAUUGCUGUCUAUGUCCUCCUUCCCUUCUCUCUCUUCUUCUCUCAUUGUUUUCUCUCUUACUAUGUUUCUUCUUCUCUUGUCUCUUCUUUUCUUCUUCUGCUUCUCCUCUCUCUCUCUCUUUCUGUUCUUAUUCUUUCUUUCUCUUACCCUUUCGUUUGACCAAGAGAGGUGGAGACUAGCAUUCAUAGUAGUCCAGUUGUCUAGCAGUAAUGUCGUUGUGCCAGUCCGAGUUACUGUUCUCGCUUUACUAUCUCAACGAACUAACCAUCGUAUCAAGCUAAUCAAUAUUGAUACAAUCAUCUAGUAGAUUAUGUUCAGCCGGUAUGAGUAACCGAGCCCGAUUUACUGCCACGUUGGGUUAGUUACUUACGAGUUUCGCCACUGUGUCAAUCUCACCAUCUGCUCCAAUUCUUCUAAUCCUAAUCUUUCUUAUCUCACUCUUCUCUUCCCCGUUUUUUUGAAUGUGCAUGCCUGUGUACAUUCCCCAAAGGCAAGGUGGGGUCCCUUGACCCACUUGUCUUGUAACAUUUGCCAUAUGUAUGUGAUUGUAGAAACCGGAGAAUACAUGCCAAGGGAGGCGAUUCUAAACCAAUUUUACUACUGGGGGGCUUUCUUUGUGAUCUAAGAGAGCGCCCAUGAGAGCCAGCCCGAGUAAGUCCCAUACCUACCUUAAACUCCUCUCUCAUCGGUUGGUUUACCUGCCUUUGUUUUUUAGUAAGGUUCCCGAGAGAGCGAUCUCAAGUCCCGGGUUCCCUUGAAACCCGAGACGCAUGCCACUCGAUCAUCUAGAUUCGAAGGACGAGAUCGAGGCACCUAACUAGAUUGGCAACUCCACUGAGGACUUACUACCCCUUAUUCAGAUUGUACUUGUUUGGCUAGUUUCUCCUUUUCCUUUCUGUUUUUAGCACUUAUGGCUUCUGGGUUCUGUAACCCGUUUAUCCAGAUUGAGGACUUCCUUAUCCCCGCAUUCGUGACUGUUCCCAAGGAACAAGUUCCUCCAACUUCGUUCCCAACAUUCCUUUUGACUAAAGACCCUGUGUCUAGCUCUCAGGUCCUAACCUGGAUGGGUGUGAGGUGGGACUUAAUGUCCCUCACUCCCCAUCUCCUCGCUCUGGUGGCACCCUACAUAGGCGGCACACACUCCACAACUCAAAGCAUGCACCCUGUUACCGGCAAGUCACGUGUCGGUCUUAUUGCCGAGGUACAUCGAUAGGCUGCCCAGUCCUUUACAGUAAAAGGCAAACAAGUUUUCGUUGCUUCUAUGCAUCGCCGUAAGGUUUGCCCCCACACUUCUCCACCACCACGAGUCUCUAUCCCUAGAGGCUCAACACAUCGAGGCGAAGACCCGCACACACCUUAAGGCUCAUGCACCUCCCACUCGAGUCACACCUCGGGGCAACCCUCGUAUUGCCUCAAGCCAGUGUUCAGGAUCGGGCCUCCUUGAGCUAGGUCCUGUACGCGCUAUGCAUGUGCAUCGCACCUCUCGGGACAAAGCUAUCGCUGCACCAAACCAAGUACAUAGGGGACAACUUCCUCAGCCUCCUACUCAUCACACACUAGUGCACCCUAUAAGGGGCAGGCUUCCACCUGUUUCCUUACAAACACAUGCUCGCGAUUCUUGGCCCCCUAAGGCCAGCCAAUCUGCUCGAGCCCAGGAUGACCCCAAAGUUGCCCGUGAUCCUUCUUCAAGGAGCGCACACAUGUCGCCUCCCCAAACUGUUGUUCCCUGCUUCCGACUCAGGCAUCAUCGUGAGUCAAUCAUUCCACCGCUUGCCCCAUCUCUUUCGGGCAUGCACCUCAAACCUUGGUACUCAAAGACGUUCCAACCGUUUUAUCUCGGUCAGGCCUUUGGAGCCUAUAAGAGAGCUCGGGGAAAAGACCUCAUGAGAGACGUUGUCCUUCUUCUCCCUCGACCCAGGCUGACUUUAGUCCCUGGCCCUCAUCCUUUGCCGCACUUGAUGGAGAUAGCUCUCUCUAGCACAAGACGAGUUGACUAGUCAACUCGCAGUCCCAUUCAAAAUUUUAGCAUGAGAUCCAUCAAAGUCUCAACAUCAAGAGCGAUAGGGGUCUGCGAAUUCUGACUAGAGAAGGAGUCAAGACAGUCGGGACACCCAGCUCUGACAACCUUCUUCACCAGAAUCCCUUCUACCCUCUUCGGAAGACAAACCUUAAAGAAGAGGAACAAGAAUUCUGUGUCGUGGUUAAUGUUGUUGAACAUGACCCGGCCACCCAGCAGCCACGGUCCCAAGACUGUUGAGAACCAGUCGUUACCUGCUCAACAUACAAGAGUCGGAUCCAGUCAGAGCAUGCUAAUCCCCUACUGACUGACUUGCCACGUGCGACCCGUCAAGCACAAAAACCUUCGACUGCAUCCAAGCCUAACCUCUCUAGAGAAGGUCAUGGUUAUAAAUGAACCAGCCUACUCUUAGGAGGCCCGUAUGGAAAGGUUUGAAUAUAUGGUCCAAGUCAUGAUGGACAAGAUCGACCGUAUGGAGGUCGCCCGGCACUCGGCUAACCAUGAGGUCAAUUUCCGUCAUUCGAAAGAUGUACCUCCCAGGCAGCCUCCUACUUCUGCCUUACAGGACAAUUCUGUCCCUCACCCCUUCUCUCAAGAAGACAUUGAUGUUAUGGUAGCUCACAACCUGAAGAACAGGCAGAUCCUAGGCAUACAGGACGCGACGCUUUACCACAAGUCGUACCCUUAUUACAUUAAUUAGGUUCCCGUCCCCCAGGACUAUAAGAAAGGGAAGUUUCCUUGCUUCGAUGGAACAACAUCCCCCCAUCAACAUAUCGCCCAUUUUCAAGCAGCAUAUCGAGAGACAACGGCUGACGGGAGACUCCUUCAUCAGUUCAUUGAAACCCUUGACAACCCUACCUUCCAGUGGUAUGCUCGACUGCCUCCAAACUCAGUACGUACUGGGGAGGAGAUGGAGAAAUUGUUCUAUCAGUGUUUUUAUGAGGUCGAGAGGGAGGUCCAAACCAUUGAACUUCUCACCUUGACCCAAGAGCUAGAUGAAUCGGUGGAUAAACUCAUAUCAAGGUGGAGAGAUCUGACAGCUCGUCAUCCCAAUCCUAUGCCUGAGGAGGCAAUUCAAACCUAUGUUCGAAAUAUGCGACCUGAGAUCACUCUACAUGUUGAGGCCUCUAACCCAACCUCCAUGUCAGACCUAAUCUCUAAGUCAGUUCACAUAAAGAUCUUGUCACGUGAUCGUAAUGGGUCACGACAACAGUCUUCAAAUUUGGCAAACAACUGGGGCAAUGGUAAUUCUUGAGCCAACGCUCGGGGAAACCAACAAAACGGAGUGAUAAGUGAAGAUGUCACAGUUAAUGAUCCAAAGAAGGUCACCUCCUAAACUUCAGACCUUUCCAAAGCUAUCGGCACAACAAAGACAACACCUCAGACAAGCGAACAGCAUAAGUCAUAGAAUCAGGUGCCUCCGCCCGCGAACCUUAAUCGAAGUGAAUAUUGGAUCGCUCAGCAGGAUAACGUUUAUCCCUUUGAAAAUGAAUGGGUGUUUGUAUUGCUUUAACUCCUGUUGGAGCAGAACAUGAUUGAAUUACCCGAGAGCAGGUUUCCCGACCAAGCUGGUCUUGAUACGCACUCAAGGUACAGUGCUUAUCAUCGAAGGGUAAAUUACCUCACGGAGGACUGUUGUACACUUAAAGACCUCAUCGAGGCUUUGAUCCAGAAGGGUCAGAUUAAGCUUGAGGAACUCAAGAAGGUGUUCGAGGCUACAGAAGCCUCGCACAUAGUGGCCGUCGAUGAAGAAGACAAUGUGCUUGAUCUCCUUCGAGCCUUCUUUCUCAUGAUGCUUCAACUAGGCCUUAUCACACCAAAGCCAACAAGGCAACCCAAACGCCUUGCUAAGGGAACAUAAAACAAGUGGUGCUCAUACCAUUAGAUAUGGGGACAUGAUCUGAGUGAAUGCUCUUGUUUUCAUGAGAUAUAUGCGAAUAAAAUACUGGAAUGCAAUGAAUCUUAUAACCUUCCACAAGGGGACCCCCAGAUCAUGGCUCCACCGGUGUCAGAGGAGCUCCCGAUAUAAGACCUAGUUAAUGAUGAUUUGGAUUCUGCUAAACCCUCAACUUCCCAACCAUGAAUACUCUAUCAUGGGUGAAGCAAACUUAAGUCGCUAAGAUGAGAGGCUAUCCGUCACGCUAGGGCUAUUCACAAACCUAGUGAGAUGAAUCAAGCACCUCCAAACGCACUGAAGAUGAGACUGGCCCCAAGAAGGUCUCGCAGAAGGAACAAUCCUCCUCAAUCGUCUAUCGAGCAAGAGUUCCUGCCUCUUCCUCGCUUGCCGACUUUGCAAGAUUUUAUCCUUGACGCAAUCAUCCUUUACCUUCACCUCAUAAGGAGGACACCCUAAGGUCAUCCCUCACUCAACACACGUCCAAUGAGUGUGAUGACGUUAAAAGAACUUCCCAACGGUCUAAGUAGGAGAAAGACCUAAAAGAGUACCUGCGCAUGUCCAAUUCUGGUGAUGACGUAAAAAGCUGCCCAAAUAGGUCCAACGAGGGGAAUGACCAUAAAUCCCCCACACCUACUAACUCAUCUUCUUCUUCUUCUUCCCCUCCACCUCUUCGGUGUCUCCUGUAGGUACAGCCUUGCAAUGUCCAGACUUCGACGCCCUUGAUCGAGAAUUUGAAGGAAUCAACAUAAACAGGAUGUAUCGGAGGCAGCUGAGAAAGACGUUAGCCCAGACAGUUGUAUUCUUAACAGUUCCUGACACCCUGACGGCUCAAGAUCGCUUUGAGCCAUCUUCCUCUGCUGUAAUGCGUAGGAGGUCCAAGCCAAAGAAACCCAGUGGCCCCAUGAGCCCGACUUUGAGCAGAGACUGAGAUAAUCAAGAGGGAAGCGCUUCUAUUCUCAGGAAGCUUGCCACAUGCUACAAGUCUAUGAAGUAUCAGCCAGUACAGGACAAACACUACAGAUACCUAUGCAAAAAUUGAACGAUUCUUAUGAAGGUGCUUUUGGCCCCACAACCACUGAAUCUCAACCUCCUUGUGACUUUCAAAUCGAACCCUUACUGCUUGAUAUGUUGUCCAUGUUUGAGGUUGACCCUCUUGUCCCUCGUUCGAUGAUGGUGCAGAAAUCAUGACCAACCCUGGGGCCCUCUUAGAAGUAAAGAUGUCAAGAUCAUCAGUCUCUGCAUAUGAGGUUAAUGAAAAGACCUCUGAGGCCAAUGAUGAAAAGAUGCUAGAAGCCCCAGAAGAAUGGGAAGAAGGUGGUCAAGCCACAAUAGAUGAACUUGAGGAGAUAAAUUUAGGGGAUGAAACUGAUCCCAGAUCCACUUUCAUCUCCAUGAAUAUGUCUCCAAAAGAGAAAGAGAAUUUCACUACUUUCUUGUGAUCAAACCAAGAUUUCUUUGCCUGACAUUACCAUGAGAUGCCUUGUCUAGACCCUCAAGUCGUCGUUCACCGCCUUGGCAAAGAUCCGACUGUCAAACCUGUCAAACAGAAAUCAAGGAGGUUUAGGCCUGACCUCGAAAUAGCAGGCAUCAUUCGUGAAGUCAAGUACCCGAAAUGGCUAGUAAAUGUUGUUCUAGUCAAGAAGAAGAAUGGCCAAAUCAGGGUUUGCACUGACUUCCAUGACCUUAAUACCGCAUGUCCCAACGAUGACUUCACGUUGUCAUUCACCGAGAUGCUCAUCGAUUCUACAACUCACUGCAAAAUCUUUUCCUUCAUGGAUGGAUACUCCGGGUAUAAUUAGAUAUGGAGAUGAGGAAGCCACCGCGUUCUUUACCCCAAAAGGAGUCUUCUGUUACAUGAUGAUGCCUUUUGGAUUGAAGAAUGUCGGUGCCACAUAUCAGAGAGCAAUGGCGACCAUCUUCAAAGACAUGAUGCACAAAGAGGUGGAAUGUUUUGUAGAUGACUUGGUGGUGAAAUCCGAAGAGAAAGAUUCUCAUAUGAGAGAACUUGAAAAGGUGUUUGAGUGAUUAUGCCUGCAUCAGCUCAAAAUGAACCUGCUAAAGUGUGCUUUUGGCGUGCGUUCAGGAAAGUUCUUAAGGUUCAUUGUUAGACAUCGGGGGCUUGAAGUUGAACCUGUCAAGAUCAAGGCAAUCCAAGAAAUGUCGUCACCAACUACGCUGUGAGAACUAUGCUCUCUUCAAGGGCAGCUGGCAUACAUCCAUAAGUUCAUCUCAAACCUCUCAGGUCGCUAUAAACCCUUUACGCACCUGUUAAAGAAAGAUACCCCAUUCAUCUGGGAUGAAGCUUAUCAUGCGGCCCUUGAUGACAUUAAGCAUUAUUCAUACUUGACCGCUCUAGAGGAGCCACCUGAGGCAUUGUUGGUGUAGAACAAUGACGAAGGAAAAGAGACCGCACUAUACUAUCUCAGCCGCAGGAUGCAAGGGGCUGAGAAGAAUUAUCCCCCUAUAAAAAAAAGGUGCUUGGCCCUAAUCUUCAUAGUACAAAAGCUUCGUCAUUAUUUACUUGGUCAUGAAGUGAAACUUAUAUCAAAAGCAGAUCCUGUAAAGUUUCUCAUGACACGCCCAUGCCUAUCAAGGCGGCUUGCUAAGUGGGCAUUAUUGCUAAUGCAAUUUGACAUCACAUAUGUCCCACAAAAGGCCAUCAAGGGCCAAGCCCUAGCUGGUUUUCACACAGCACACCCCUUAUCGGUGAAAUUUCCUUUAUCGAGUGAUCUCCCUGACGAAAAGUGUUAUGUGCAUAACUUACUCAUGCGUGGAAAUGUGCUUUGACGGAGCCUUCCAAUCUGACCGAGGAGGCACCGGAGUAAUAUUCCUGACUCUGAAAGGAGGAGUAUUGUCACUUUCUUUCUUUCUCGACGAGACUGGUUAUCAUAACGAGGCAGAAUAUCAGGCCCUUAAAAUUGGUUUGGAGAUAGCCUUUGAUCUAGACUUGGAACAGCUCAAUAUCUAUGGAAACUCUGAGUUGGUUAUUCGACAACUCAAGGGAAUAUAUGAUGUAAGAAAAGACACCCUCAAGCCUUUUCAUGACACUGCAAAAUUGUAUAUGGCCUAGUUUGUGGAUGUAUCAUUGAGUCACAUUCCCAGAAGACUAAACUCACAAGCUGAUGCACUUGCAAAACUCGAGGCUACAAUUCAAUUAUCCAUAUCAGGACCCACGCUUAUCUGGGUGGCAGAAUGGAGACACAUUGAACUAAGAAUCAAGGUAGAUGUGGAUGAUGAGAGAAAUCUCUUCCACAAAUGCCCUCCUUAUCCAUUCUGAGCACUUCUAUCAGCUAAGAAGUAAUCAAGACUGAGCAAGAAAUGUCACGGAGUCAAGGAGCUAAUGUUUGAAACCAAGAACCAGAAUUCUUCGACCCAAUAUGCGUGGAAAUUGAACCGGUAGAAUAUUAGAGAGAGCCUAUCACUAAUUUCCUAAAACAUGGCAGGCCCUCAAAAGAUCGUGUCGAACACAACAGUGUGCAUCGAAUGUCUACCAAGAAUACCCUCCUUGAAGGACAUGCUCUCUUCAGAUGGUCAUUUGAUGGUAUUCUCCAUAGAUGUGUGGACGCGCAAGAGGAAACUAAGGUGUUGGAAGAAGUACACUCAGGAAAUUGUGGACUACACCAAUUCGGUCCUAAACUCUAUGAACGGAUAUGCAAAUUGGGGUAUUAUUGGCCUUCGAUAAUUGCUAAUUCUUUAAACUAUGCUAAAAAGUACUAGGUGUGCCAAAUACACUCAACUCUUCUUCACCAGCCUCUAGAACCCCUACACCCUAUAGUGGCAUCAUGGCCUUCUCACAAUGGAGUAUGAACAUUAUAGGGCCUAUUGACCUUCCUUCAGCAAUGGGUCAUGUCUUUAUUCUAGCUGCAACUAAUUAUUUCUCUUAGUGGGCUUAAGAGGCACCCUUAAAGCAAGUUCUUGGGACAACAGUAGCUAAUUUUGUGCGACAUCAUAUAAUAUACCGGUUUGGGGUGCCUGACCAGAUUAUAUCAGCCAAUGGCCCUCAAUUUAGAAGUCAUCAUAUUGAUCGCUGGUUAACCAGUUCGGCUUUGAAUGGAGGUACUCAACUAUGUAUCACCCACAAGCCAACAGAUUAGCUGAGGCUUUCAAUAAGAGCCUGUGCAACAUUUUACGUAAAAUCAGUAUCAAAGAAGAAGAAGAACUGGCAUGAGAAGCUUCCUGAAGCCUUGUGGGCCUAUUGCACUACCACACGAAAUGCCACCGGUUCUACUCCUUACUCCCUAGUCUAUGGGGGGAAAGCAGUUUUACCUCUUGAAAUUCAAAUCCCUUCAUUGCGUAUCGCUAUGCAUCAAGGACUAACCGAAGAUAAGCGAGUCAAACUUCGGUAUCAAGAAUUAGAUGCACUCGAUGAAAAGAGGUUGGACGCUUAGCAGAACCUCGAACUAAAGCAGGGGAGAAUGAAGAGGGCUUUUGACAAGUCAGUCAAGGUCCGCUCAUUCGCUUGUGGGGAUCUAGUUCUGGCCGUUAAGAGGCCGAUUGUUAUGCAUGGCCGACAUAAAGGGAAGUCUGAACCCAAGUGUGAAAAACCCUUUAUAGUAAAACGUUUCGUAUUUCGUUUUAUGGAGCUUACAUAAUAGCACAUCCUGAUAGAGAGGAGGCAAUGCGCCCUAUCAAUGGGCGAUAGCUAAAGAAACACUACUGAUGAUGCAUACUCAAAAGACUUGAUGCGCAACAACAAAAAAGUUAAAAAGGAAGGUAAAAUGAAAACAAACAAGACAGUCCAAAAACAAAAUUUAACUCUUUUUAUUACCUUAAAAAGGAGUUACAAAUUAAAAUCGAAAGCCCAUUAUUAGGAAAGUUACAAAUCUCUUGCAUUAAAGGAAAAAAGAACAGUUGACACCCACAGUGUUGCUUCUACAUCUGAGGAUAAGAGGAUGGUUACAGGCCUAAAAGAAAUUCUCCCCUCAUGAAGAAGAAGCAAAACCACCAAAGAAAUGCUCUCCUCAUGAAGAAGAAGCAGAACUACUUGGAGAGUCAACUUCAAUUCAGCUGACGAGUGUCUUCAAAGAGAAUGGUUACAGGCCAAAAGAAGAAGUCAGCUUCAAUUCAUCUAAUGAGUGUAUCAAACUGGUUAGGUGCCUCGAUCUUGCCUCUCUGGAUCUAGGUGAGCGAGUGACACUUGUCUAGGGUUUGGAAGACCCGGGACCUGAGAUCGCUCUCUUAGGAACCUUGUUCACAGUACAAGGGCAAAUACCCAACUAGUGAGAGACGAAUUUGGGUCCUGAGGUGGGACUUACCUCAUGUGGGUCCAUGACACACUCGGGCUGGCUUGCGUGGGCGCCUUUUUAGAUCACGUUGGAAAGCCCCCUGGCCUAUGGCCGGUUUGGAAUCGCCUCCCUUGACAUGUUUCUCCUUUCCUGUAAAUACACAGAUAUUAGAAGUACCGACAAGUGGGGCAUGGUCCCCCACCUUGUUACAGGAUGAAAUAAAAAUGAGAAAGAUGAAUUAAAAUAAAAAUAAAAAUAAAUAAAAAAAAAAUUAGAAAAUAGAAUUAGGAUUAUAUUGGAAUGAAGUGAAGUGAAAUAAAAAUGGAUAACAUAAUAGAGAUCAAUGAAAUAAACUAAAAGAAAGGAGUAAAAUGGGAUAAAAUAAAAGGGAAGGGGUGGAAGAAGUAAAUAGGAUGGUUUAAGAGAGAGACGUGGACGACAUUGCGUGAAAGGAGUGGACGACACGAAACGAAAGACGAGAAAAGAAAACAGGGGAAAUGGGGUCGUUCAUUUAUGGGUUGUUAGGGUGAGCAAGCGAAGGUUGCAGGGAGGCGAAUAAGACGCACGAGCUUACAAAAGAUUGGGACGAGAGAAGAGCGCGAGGUUGGUUGCUGCAGGGCGGAACGAUAGUCGGAGGAGAGGGACCUGGUUGUUGCUGCUAAUGGCGAGGUUGCGAGAAGAGGAAGGAAGACGGAAAUUGGUGGUGAAUAUGGAGCAACAAUGGUGACGGAGAUGGGACAGCAGUCGUGGCCGAAAUGGGUGGAAAAGCUGGGCGGAGAUGGAUGUAGGGGGUAGGCCGAGAUAUGUGGGAGAGGAUUGCAGGUGAAGAUGCUGCUGCAAUUGGCGUGGAUGAAGUGGAGGGGCGAAAUGGGCAGCAGUUGCAGCACAAGGUAUCUGCGAUUGAGAGGUGAAAGAUGGGGGAGCUGUACGAGGUGGCUGUGGCGAAGAAGGAGGAGCAAGAUUGGGGAGGUGCUGGAGAUGGUUGAGAGCAGGGGGGAGCUGAUAUUUGGUGAAGACAGAGGUAACAGGUGAAGUCUUGUUGUGAUUGAGAGGAGAAAGAACGAGGGAGCGGCAGUGUGGUGCAGCAGAGAGAGAUGAAGGUGGCCGAGGUUGAUCGCAGGUGAGUGAAGAUGGAAGCCGAGAAAGAGAAGGGCGAUCAACUGCUGGUCAGGGGUAGCGAGAUGUGGUGAAAAAAGAGGCGAAUUUUGCAGGCUAGAGGACAAGGCUGAGCGACGAAAGAGAGGAACGGUAGUAGGCAGCAGUGAAAGUGAGGCCGUGAGAUGGUGGCUGCCGGCGAUCGGCCUCAGUGGCGCACGGCGAUGGGGGAGGACAGAACGCACAUGGAACUGAGGGGAGAGGAGCGCGCACGGCGAUAGGGUUAGGAAAGGGGCACACGGCGAUAGGGUUAGGAAAGGGCGCACGACGAUAGGUUGGAGGGUGGCACUAGACGACGCUGGGGUAUGUUGUGCCCACGGUGAUAGGCGAGAUGUUCGCGCCGACGAUAGGUAGAGGUUCGCACGGCGUCAGGGGAAGAAGGAUUUGGGGCAAAGGUGGUCACAUGAGACCACAUGACAUAAAAGGUGGGAAGUCACCACAAGGCACCAAAAAAGGUGCUGGACAAUAAUGCUCAAAAAGAGAGGUAUGAAUAUCAGGGACCAGAAAAAAGAGGAGGUGGACCUGAGGUUCUACAUAUAGAAAGAUCAUGCAGUUAGCAUAACAAAAAGGACAAGAAGAUAGGUGGUCACGAGGGACUACAAAGAGGGAAUGAGAGAAUAAGAAAGUAAAAAAGAAUGACACAUACGGCGAUANNNNNNNNNNNNNNNNNNNNGAGAAGUGAGAAGAGAGAGAAAGGGAAACUUUAAGCCCAAGGGUACCGACUCAAAAAUUUGUCCUUCUUUCCUCUCCAUCUUAAGACGUGACCCAACAAUAGGCAAGAUAAAAAUUUUAUUAAGCAAGUAAAGGGUUUGCGUACAAUGGUAGUACAUAGUAUAUAUAAUAUUGUGCCCAAAUAUGGGUGGAUAUUGAUCAAAAUUAAGUCUAAUUGUUGUAAAUUAAGAUUUAAAUGAAUUAAAAAAAAUAGAAAACAGGGUACAAAAUGACAGAUUUGCCCCUUCUUAACAAGUUGUGGAAUUUCAAAACAGUCAUUGUGCCCUAGAACGUGCAUGAUUUUUCAUAGAUUAUUUAGGGUUGUUUUGAUACCUGUUUGAUUGAAAGAUGAUUGUUUUCUUGUAGAGCUCGACAUGACGUUCGAUUUGAUACCAACUUCAAGCUAUGAAUCGUAUUUUUAGAGCACGAUCAUGUGACCUGAAAUUUGAAUAAAUCUUGAAACUUUGGAUCAAUUGUGUGCUCGUUCCAUGAUGUUUUUCUAUGAUUUCUUUGUUGGAUCACACUAAGCAUGCUGUCACGAUUGUGGAGCAAUAAACGCAGCUCGAUUCCGUGCUUGGACGAAGAUUUUUCAACUUUGGAGUUUUUGCCUAAAUCUGGAAUUCCGACGAUGGAAUUUGCAGUCGCUUCAUCUGCUUCGUGUGCGAAAU
rnacentral:lncRNA from 1 species